GGAGCCGUUAAAAAGGUCACGUGAGAAGACCUGCCGACUACAGAGAACGAAGGGAAAUGGAGACGCUCGUCUUUUUAACGGAUAACUAGAGUUGAUUGCGUAUGUUAUUAGGCUUUCCUUUGGAAUUCCCUCAAAAGGCUAUUUUGUCGGUCCACCGCCCAAAGUCUCACCACUUCAAGUGCAUUCUU